AGCUUUUCGAAUCCGUGUUGAGAUUUGGUCAAACACCAACGCAUUAGGGUUGAUCAGACUUCCAAGAUAAGUGAAGUC
rfam:Schistosoma mattheei strain Denwood, Zambia genome assembly, scaffold: SMTD_scaffold0002841